rnacentral:rRNA from 1 species
AUUGAACGCUGGCGGAAUGCUUUACACAUGCAAGUCGAACGGCAGCACGGGGCAACCUGGUGGCGAGUGGCGAACGGGUGAGUAAUAUAUCGGAACGUGCCCAAUCGUGGGGGAUAACGUAGCGAAAGUUACGCUAAUACCGCAUACGAUCUACGGAUGAAAGCGGGGGAUCGCAAGACCUCGCGCGAAUGGAGCGGCCGAUAUCAGAUUAGGUAGUUGGUGGGGUAAAGGCUCACCAAGCCAACGAUCUGUAGCUGGUCUGAGAGGACGACCAGCCACACUGGAACUGAGACACGGUCCAGACUCCUACGGGAGGCAGCAGUGGGGAAUUUUGGACAAUGGGCGCAAGCCUGAUCCAGCCAUUCCGCGUGCAGGAUGAAGGCCUUCGGGUUGUAAACUGCUUUUGUACGGAACGAAACGGUCUGCCCUAAUACGGCAGGCUAAUGACGGUACCUGAAGAAGAAGCACCGGCUAACUACGUG